rfam:Coccidioides immitis RMSCC 2394 supercont1.5 genomic scaffold, whole genome shotgun sequence.
GGGCGAUUGGUUUAGUGGUAUAACGUCUGUUUUGCAUUAUCGUGAAUACAGAAGGUCGGGAUUUCGAUUAUCCCAUCGUCCA